GCAAAACAUUACAGUUUCUCCUGCUCAAAGGAAAGAGCAGCAAUUCUUUCAUCAGCGUUUCAAUGUCAGGUAAGGAAUUGGGAGAGAAUCAGGAGCAUGUUGUCUCUUGCCCAGAUGGCUUUAAUCUUACGUUAAGUAUUCUUUUUUGUUCCCAACCCUAAAGCCUCAGAUCGACUUGGGAUACUGUAUAUGUUUGUCCAUAAGGAUAAUGAUAUUUCAUUCUUGCUUUCUGACUUCAUUAGCUCUAUAGAGAGGUUGCCUCUUUAAAUAUUUUUUUUCUUUUUAAUGUAACGGUAGCUUUAAAUGCAGAACGUAGAAUCUGUCUUAUUAAAAACCACCUGUUGGGUUGAUAGCCAGCUUUGUUGGCUGGGCAUUGUGCACUCUCUGAUUAAAUUGUGGUGAAUGCACCUGGGUUACUAUGGCAUUAGAACACAUUGUGAUUUGAUUGGAGGUUAGAGACUGUGAACAGGUUUCACAGAAUAUAGAAUUUUCUAAUAAUGGAACUGGCUGCAACUCUGUAGUUAUUUUCUUCCAAUCCCCUUGAUUUACAGAUGAGGAAACUGAAGUCCAGGAGAACUGACAAUCUGCCUUUUCCAGAAGAAGCCAUUUUGGAGAUUUCAUCUUUUAAAUUAACUCCCAGAAAUACAAAGACUAAACGGAGGAAAGUAAACACUGAGGUGUUGAGAUGGUGACCCAAGGCAGAGCUUGCCCAAUGAGGGACAGCGGCACUACAAGACCACAAACUCUUCAGUCCUUGGAGGAAAGUGAACACGGUUUUGAUUACUGGUGUGCCCGGCUCAAAAGUUGUUAAGCAGGAUAUCAGAAGGAAGAGGAAUCUUCAAAUUGGUUGAUAUCUUGACUCAGAAUCAAGAUCCUGAUGUUCAUUGAACCCAGAGUUCCAAUCAUCUGUCACCAAGAGCAUGGCCUUACUUCUUUGAAGGCAGAGAACAGUUCAUCUCCCAGUGUCCUCUAGAAGGAAGAAGACACAUUUCAUUCCAUCUAUAACACAGCAAAUGAAGAAGAAUCCACAGGGGCACGUUAAAAUUGCCUGAUGUUCUCAUGGAAAGACACUGUCUUGCUUAAACACAUUCUCCUGGCUUAAUUCUCCACAAAAUGUGGCCCUUGCCUUCAGAGUUUAUAAUCUAGCUGAGAAAAUGGCAACAGGAGAUGUCAUAAGACUAUGUCGAAUCGAUGGUUGAGGGCUGUGUCUGAUGCACAGGUGAUUCGUGUUUAAUGAUCCUGGGGAAAGGAGACAAAAUGAUGGGCAUUUUCCUGGAAGAGGCAGAAAAUGAGCUAAGCUUUGAACUUAGGAACAAACAUUUUGGCUAGCAGAAAGAGAGAGAGGGUGAGGAAAAUUAAGAUGAAUUGAAGAGUCUGGCUAGGAAGAGAGAGAAAAGAGAGCUUUGCCUUGUUAGAGGGGAGCUAAGGUUGGUGAAAUCACAGUGUGCCAGUUGUUUAAGGAGGAAAUUACACAGGACUUAGAAACCAGGAACGGAAGCGUAGACCUGGUGUGAAGCAAAUGUGUAGGCGUUCAGGUGUUGAGAUCUGUAGGGAAGGACUGGAGUUGGGAAGAGGGGCAUCAGGGCUGCUGCUGCAGUCAUCCCAACAUUAGGGCUUGGACCAAACCUAAGAGGAUCUUGAAUGAACAAGUUGGUAAAAUGCCAUGUUGCUGAUCUGGAAGUAUUUCUUCUGCAGAGCAGCAUUCGUAAGCCUGUAAUGUCAGUGGGUUAAUUUUCAGGCCAACUCUGAUUCCGAAGCUCAUUUUUCAUAAGGCAGAGAGAGCCUCGUUUUGAUGCACGUGAAAGGGGCAGAGGUCAACUGCCAGGCCACUCACUCCCUGACCUCCAUCCACAUGUGGCCCUCAGCAUCUCCCAAAGGUAUCCUCUGAGCUCCCUGACCCAGGAGUACUGGAGGUUAACACUUUGUUAAAACAUUCUAUUCAGCUGGUUAAACAAAGGAAUACUGAAAUAAUGGCUACUAAUGACCACUCAUGAUGACAUUAACUGGAUCUUUUGAGAACACGAGGGACUCUGGGAGAGAAAGGGUAAGAGAAAAAGAAAUGAGUAACUUGCUGCAGGCACAUUCCUGCAAACAUUAAGCUGGCUGAUUAACAUGGAAACUGCAGACAGAGAAAACUGCAAAACACAUGAAAGAAAAGGUGUGAAGAUGAAUAAACAAGGAAAGAACUGGAAUAAAAGUGUGGAGUGGGCAUGAGCAGCAUCACUUAGCCCUGAUCGAUAAAGCAACAUUCUUAAGACAUUGGGACCAACCUCUCUAGCCUUCCUCCUAUUUAUUCCUCAGACCAUAGCAAAAGGGAGAAGUUUUAAAUGCACACUUCAUUAUGUCAUUUCCAGGUUUAAAAUCCUUCAAAUGUUAGCUAUGGUUUUUCAAGAUGAAGUCCAAAGCCACAAGAAGGCUGCUUGCUCACCAAGCCUUCUGCAACUGAACGAGUGCCUGAAUAAUCUACUCGGCUCUGGACAACCUCUUCAAACUCAUCUCUUCCCAUCUCAUCUCUCAAU